GUGAAUACUGUAGAUUAACACCUAGCACAAAGAACUGUCGAUCUCAUCUUUAACCUCAAUAUUCCAAUUAUUGAUUGCUUUACCAAACAAUUAAUAUAUACUUUUGAAUGCUGAUUGUUUUUCCUUCCCUAACAUCAUCCUGUAUUCUGGUAGUGGUUUUCCUUGCCAUGCAUGACAAUCAAUUUUCUUUUAUUUUUUCCAUCUCACAUUACCCCCAAAUUAAGUAUAGUUUGCUGCUUCAGUUCAUCCGAAUUCAAAUAAGUUCCACUUUGUAAUGAAGUAAAGGCAAUAUCCUAGCCUAUUUCGGCCUUAACUGCUUGUUUUAAAGUUGGGAAGGUUUUUUGAAAAUCAGAAAAGUUUGUUCCGCAACUCAAAUUUUUGUUGAUAGCCAC